AGAGUUGAUCAUGGCUCAGAACGAACGUUGGCGGCGUGGAUGAGGCAUGCAAGUCGCGGGAAUCCCCGGGCAACCGGGGGGAACCGGCGUAAGGGGCAGUAAGGCGUGGGUACCUACCCCCGGGUCCGGGAUAGCCCGCCGAGAGGCGGGGUAAUACCGGAUGACCUCGGGAGAGCAAAGCUCCGGCGCCCGGGGCGGGGCCCACGUGGUAUUACCUGGUUGGCGGGGUAACGGCCCACCAAGGGGGGGAUGCCUAGCGGGUGUGAGAGCACGACCCGCGCCACUCGCACUGAGACACUGGCGAGACACCUACGGGUGGCUGCAGUCGAGGAUCUUCGGCAAUGCGCGCAAGCGCGACCGAGCGACGCCGCGUGGGCGACGAAGGCCUUCGGGUUGUAAAGCCCUGUCGAGGGGGAGAAAGCCCGCAAGGGCCGAUCUAUCCCUGGAGGAAGCUCGGGCUAAGUUCGUGCCAGCCGCCGCGGUAAUA
rnacentral:rRNA from 1 species